CAUGCAGAGAACUUCCAGAGAUGGAUGGUGCCUUCGGGAACUACUGACACAGGUGCUGCAUGGCUGUCGUCAGCUCGUGUCGUGAGAUGUUGGGUUAAGUCCGUAACGAGCGCAACCCUUGUCCUUAGUUACCAGCACGUUAUGGUGGGCACUCUAAGGAGACUGCCGGUGGACAAACCGGAGGAAGGUGGGGGAUGACGUCAAGUCAUCAUGGCCCUUACGGCCUGGGCUACACACGUGCUACAAUGGUCGGUACAAAGGGUUGCCAAGCCGCGAGGUGGAGCUAAUCCCAUAAAACUGAUCGUAGUCCGGAUCGCAGUCUGCAACUCGACUGCGUGAAGUCGGAAUCGCUAGUAAUCGUGAAUCAGAAUGUCACGGUGAAUACGUUCCCGGGCCUU
rnacentral:rRNA from 1 species